rnacentral:rRNA from 1 species
UACAGAGGAGCCAAGCGUUGUCCGGAUUGACUGGGCGUAAAGCGCACGCAGGCGGUUGCGCGCGUGGGGUGUGAAAUCUGGCCGCUUAACGGCCAGGCGCCAUCCCAUACGGCGCGACUGGAGUGAUGCAGAGGUCGAUGGAAUUCCUGGUGUAGCGGUGAAAUGCGCAGAUAUCAGGAGGAACACCCGUGGCGAAAGCGGCUCUCUGGGACGGUACUGACGCUGAGACGCGAAAGCCGUGGGGAGCAAACAGG